rnacentral:rRNA from 1 species
UCGCAAGCGUUAUCCGGAUUUACUGGGCGUAAAGAGUGCGCAGCUGGUCUAUCAAGUNUGAUGUUAAAGUCUGGAGCUCAACUCCAGUCCNCAUUGGAAACUAGUAGACUCGAGUUAUAGAGAGGUAAGUGGAAUUCCUAGUGUAUCGGUGGAAUGAGUAGAUAUUAGGAGGAACACCAGUGGCGAAGGCGACUUACUGGCUAUAUACUGACAGUCAUGCACGAAAGCGUGGGGAGCAAACAGGAUUAGAUACCCUGGUAGUCCACGCCGUAAACGUUGAGUACUAGGUGUUGGCCAUAAGGGCAGUACCGCAGCUAACGCAUUAAGUACUCCGCCUGGGUAGUAUGCACGCAAGUGUAAAACUCAAAGGAAUUGACGGGGACCCGCACAAGCGGAGGAGCAUGUGGUUUAAUUCGAUGCAACGCGAAGAACCUUACCAGGACUUGACAUACUAUGCGAAGCUAUAGAGAUAUAGUGGAGGUUAACAUAGAUACAGGUGGUGCAUGGUUGUCGUCAGCUCGUGCCGUGAGGUGUUUGGUUAAGUCCAGUAACGAGCGCAACCCCUAUCAUUAGUUACCAUCAUUUAGUUGGGGACUUUAAUGAGACUGCUAGUGCAAACUAGAGGAAGGUGGGGAUGACGUCAAAUCAUCAUGCCCCUUAUGUCCUGGGCUACACACGUGCUACAAUGGGUGAUACAAAGCGCAGCUAACCGGCGACGGUACGCAAAUCGCAAAAAGUCACUCCCAGUUCGGAUCGCAGGCUGCAACUCGCCUGCGUGAAGUCGGAUUCGCUAGUAAUCGCAAGUCAGCAAUAUUGCGGUGAAUACGUUCCCGGGUCUUGUACACACCGCCCGUCAAACCACGGAAAUCGGAAAUACCCAAAGUCACUGUCCUAACUUUUAGAGGGAGGUGCCUAAGGUAGGUUCGGUGACUGGGGUUAAGUCGUAACAAGGUAAC